UGUCAUGGCGGCUGUGUGCGGGCAGACUUCGGUCUGGCCGGGUGUCCAUAACCGGUAUUCUCACCCCGCAUACAGUUGCCACCUUU
rnacentral:antisense_RNA from 1 species